GCUAACUCCGUUCCUGCAGCCGCGGGAAUACGGAGGUGUCAAGGGUUAUCCGGAUUUAUUGGGUUUAAAGGGUCCGUAGGCGGACCUGUAAGUCAGUGGUUAAAUCUCAUAGCUUAACUAUGAAACUGCCAUUGAUACUGCAGGUCUUGAGUAAAUUUGAAGUGGCUGGAAUAAGUAGUGUAGCGGUGAAAUGCAUAGAUAUUACUUAGAACACCAAUUGCGAAGGCAGGUCACUAAGAUUUAACUGACGCUGAUGGACGAAAGCGUGGGUAGCGAACAGGAUUAGAUACCCGGGUAGUC
rnacentral:rRNA from 1 species